rnacentral:rRNA from 1 species
CCCUUAGAUGUCCUGGGCCGCACGCGCGUUACACUGAUGCAUUCAACGAGCUUAUAACCUUGGCCGAGAGGCCCGGGCAAUCUUGUUAACGUGCAUCGUGAUAGGGAUAGAUUAUUGAAAUUACUAAUCUUGAACGAGGAAUUCCUAGUAAACGCAGAUCAUCAAUCUGCAUUGAUUACGUCCCUGCCCUUUGUACACACCGCCCGUCGCACCUACCGAUUGGAUGGUCCGGUGAAGCCUCGGGAUUGUGGUUCUUGCCGCUUUAUUGUGGCGUGACCGCGAGAACUUGUCUAAACCUUAUCAUCUAGAGGAAGGUGAAGUCGUAACA